rnacentral:rRNA from 1 species
GAUGAACGCUGGCGGCGUGCCUAAUUCAUGCAAGUCGAGCGAACAGACGAGGAGCUUGCUCCUCUCACGUUAGCCGCGGAAGGGGGAGUAACACGUGGAAACCCCACCUAUAAGACUGGGAUAACUUCGGGAAACCGGAGCUAAUACCGGAUAAUAUAUAACACCGCAUGGUUACUUAGUGAAAGACGGUUUUGUUGUCCUUUAUAGAUGGAUCCGCGCCGCAUUAGCUAGUUGGUAAGGUAACGGCUUACCAAGGCAACGAUGCGUAGCCGACCUGAGAGGUUGAUCGGCCACACUGGACCUGCGACACGGUCCAGACUCCUAAGAGAGUCAGCAGAAGGGAAUCUUCCGCGAUGGGCGAAUGCCUGACGGAGCAGGGCGGCGUGGGUGAGAGAGUUCGUGGGAUCGUAGGACUAGGUUGUUGGGGGGGAACGAAUUGGUAAAGAGCUGUGCACGAAUUGGCGGUACCUGGGCGGAGAGCCACGGCUAACUACGAG